CUCUUCGGGGAUGAUUAAACCGGCGCACGGGUGAGUAACACGUGAGUGACCUGCCUUUAGACUGGAACAACUUACCGAAAGGUGAGCUAAUGCCGGAUGAGUUAUAUAAGUGCAUGUUUAUAUAGGAAAAGUUGGGGAGACCUGACGCUGAAAGAUGGACUCGCGUCCCAUUAGCUAGUUGGUAGGGUAAUGGCCUACCAAGGCGACGAUGGGUAGCCGGCCUGAGAGGGUGGCCGGCCACACUGGGACUGAGACACGGCCCAGACUCCUACGGGAGGCAGCAGUGGGGAAUUUUGCGCAAUGCUCGUAAGAGUGACGCAGCGACGCCGCGUGAAUGACGAAGGCCUUCGGGUCGUAAAGUUCUUUCGACAGGGAAGAAAAUGCCUAUAAGUAACUGUGUAUGUAUUGACGGUACCUGUAUAAGCAGCCCCGGCUAACUCCGUGCCAGCAGCCGCGGUAAUACGGAGGGGGCGAGCGUUGUUCGGAGUGACUGGGCGUAAAGAGCACGUAGGCGGUGUUGUAAGUCAUUAGUCAAAGACUAGAGCUCAACUUUAGUAAGGCUAGUGAUACUAUAAUACUAGAGUAUCAGAGAGGAUUGCAGAAUUCCUGGUGUAGCGGUGAAAUGCGUAGAUAUCAGGAGGAAUACCGUUAGCGAAGGCGGCAAUCUGGCUGGAAACUGACGCUGAGGUGCGAAAGCGUGGGUAGCAAACAGGAUUAGAUACCCUGGUAGUCCACGCUGUAAACGAUGGAUGCUAGGUGUUGGGCUUUUAAGUUCAGUG
rnacentral:rRNA from 1 species